rfam:Neisseria bacilliformis ATCC BAA-1200 genomic scaffold SCAFFOLD1, whole genome shotgun sequence.
GUACCCGUAGCUCAGUUGGAAGAGUGUCGGUUUCCGAAGCCGAAGGUCGCUGGUUCGAUCCCAGUCGGGUGCG